CCUGACCCUAGACGCUUUGCAGGUAUAGCUGCUGUGUCACACGUGUGUCAGUAGGUGGCAGAGAGGAGAGAGGCGAGGCUAUGUCUAUGCUCAGUAUUCUGACAUGUGAACAUCUGAAUGAUUAGUAGCCUAAAGU